rnacentral:rRNA from 1 species
AACGAACGCUGGCGGCAUGCCUAACACAUGCAAGUCGAACGAGAUCUUCGGGUCUAGUGGCGCACGGGUGCGUAACGCGUGGGAAUCUGCCCUUUGGUUCGGAAUAACAGUUGGAAACGACUGCUAAUACCGGAUGAUGACGAAAGCCCAAAGAUUUAUCGCCAGAGGAUGAGCCCGCGUAGGAUUAGCUAGUUGGUGGGGUAAAGGCGCACCAAGGCGACGAUCCUUAGCUGGUCUGAGAGGAUGAUCAGCCACACUGGGACUGAGACACGGCCCAGACUCCUACGGGAGGCAGCAGUGGGGAAUAUUGGACAAUGGGCGAAAGCCUGAUCCAGCAAUGCCGCGUGAGUGAUGAAGGCCUUAGGGUUGUAAAGCUCUUUUACCCGGGAUGAUAAUGACAGUACCGGGAGAAUAAGCUCCGGCUAACUCCGUGCCAGCCGCCGCAGUAACAC